rfam:Otolemur garnettii contig070130, whole genome shotgun sequence.
GCUGAAUGUGGUGGUGUGCGCCUGUGGCUCCAGCUACUCAGGAGGCUGAGACGGGAGGAUGGCUUGAGUCCAGGAGUUCUGGGCUGUAGGGCACUAUGCUGAUCGGGUGUCUGCACUAAGUUCAGCAUCAAUAUGGUGACUUCCCAGGAGUGAGGGGGCCACCAGUUUGCCUAAGGAAGUGUGAACCGACCCAGGUCAGAAAUGGAGCAGGUCAAAACUCCUGUGCUGAUCAGUAGUGGGAUUGUGCCUGUGAAUAACCACUGCACUGGAGCCUGGGCAACAUGGCGAGACCCCAUCUCUU